GUAACUUGUGGUUUAUUGCUGUAUUUCAUUACAAAUUGUCUUACAGUACAAAAGCUCUAGUUGCUUAGACACUGCAGAAGAAUCCUUACGCUUUUGCCCUUAAAUCCUCCUUAGGGUCUUGGGGCUCAGGAACAAGGGAAUACAGAACAUAUCAAGGUUCACGUGAAAAACAACAUGCUGGGGUUAGGAGCAACCAUCAAUGACGAGGACAGCUGGAUUGCUCGUCAGGAUGACUUCAACCAGCUUCUGGCUGAACUGAAUGAUUGCCAUGGACAGGGUGAAACAGGUCAAUUAAUCUGAAAGGAAGAGGGCACUGAGGAAGAAGACUUGUCUUAUGUCGAGCUUGAGUGUCCUCAACGAUACUACCUGUGGUAGUUAGAAUAGUUAUUUUUAUCAUUUUUUGUAAUUGUGUGCUGCGAUCAUAAUUAGCUUUAUUGUUGAAAACACAACAGCCAAGAAUGGCAUUCUUAACCUGUGUUGGAAAGAUACUUCUUGUCUUAAUGUGCUUACAUGUGCUAUGGCAAACCUACCACCAGCAUACACUUCUGGGGCUUGGUAUUGUACCGGCCAAAUAGGUGAUGAGGCAACCACAUUCUUCAGCCCUCUGGGCAACAGAGAUGCAGCUUACUUUCAAUUCCCACCAGGGAUAAACGGGCCAUUUGCUCAGGGCAUUGGAGCUAAGAAAGGGCAUUAUUGGAUCUGUGGACACACAGCACACAAAUUUUUACCCGCGGGGUGGUUGAGAAUUUGUUAUAUAGGGGUUAUCAAACCUUUGUUUUUCCUUUUACCAGAAACAAGCGGACCUCGGUUAGGCAUAAAGGUACAUGAUAACCUUGGAGACAGAAGUGUUGCCUGUAAGACGGGAUCCAUUAAAGUAAAUUUGGGUGGGACACAAAAAGUGGGGAAAUAAUGAGUGGCCUCCUGAACGAAUAAUUCAACAUUACGGGCCUGCAACCUGGAAUAAUCAGACUACAAGCGGCUCUAGAAAUUAUUACCAACAAAACCGCUGACGCAAUAGAUCUUUUAACUCGGCAAUCCCAACAGAUGCACACGGCAAUCCUUCAGCACCACAUGGUUUUUAGAUUACCUGUUAGCUGAAGAGGGAGAAGAGUGUGGGAAAUUAAAUAUUCCUAAUGGUUGUUUGGAAAUAGAUGAUGUAAGCGAAGUAGUUCUCCAGUUAACCAAAGAUAUCAGAAAAAUAGCCCACGUCCCCGUCCAAACCUGGAACGGCUGGAGUGGCGAUUUGUAGUCCUGGUUACUGGGGGCACCGUGGGUGAAACAGUUAAUAUUGUAUUUGUUAGGUGCAGUUGCCGCCUUAAUGUUCUUGUAUCAUUCCUUGCUUUGUUCAAUUAAUCGGACAUGUUGUGUCAAAUAUGCAAUUUGUUCCUACCACCUUGCCCAACGGCAUAAAGAAAAUCCGUGCCAUCCAUUGGCCAUGGCCAACCACAGUACCCAUCAUUUCCCAGUUUCUCCUGAAGGAGGAAAUUGCAUAUUGACAUCCACAGCGCAUUUGCCAGCUGUUUUAUGCCUAUUGUAACGAUACUACCUCCUUAACUCAGUUUUGAUGUCUGUUUUGUAAAGCUAAAUGUUGUUGAAGUUGUUAAGGAAUAAGCUUGCAUUGAGCAAGACCUCUGUUUUUUACCCAAACCUAUGUUAUUCCCGCGACUUCCCCCCUGUCCCUAAUUCUCUCUCCCUUCCUUCCUUCCUUGCUUGCUUGCUUUCUCUCUCUCUCUCUCUCUCUCCUGCUGCCAAGAUGCAAUGUCAAGACACAGGGUGGUGUAGAGAACCAGUUCUCUACAUGCAGUUUUGUCUCAACAUUGCUGCUGCUGCUGCAAAGCCGCUGCUGCCAAGGCGCAUCGGGCAAUGCCGCGCCGGGGCCCCCGGGAGCCGUCCGCGAGGUAAACAACCUCAUGCACCUGCACGAGGUAAAAAGGGCGCAAAAAGGGCAGAAGGUCAUCUCUAGGGCACGGACUGCACGUACUCAUUUGCCAUCUGCACAUGAGCAGGAGACCCCCAGAUGCCCCAGCCUGUUUCUGGAAGGUUCCGAGAGGGCGGACUGCGCAUGACAGUUAAUCUGCAUGGGAAGCGAGGAAGCACCGCCCAGAGGUGGGGCAAGAACCUAUAAAAACUGCAGACUGUGUGAAUGGGGGGUGGGGGGCUUGCUUGGGACGACUGAAGAACUCGAGCGGAGUCAGCGGAACCAGAUGGGAGCUUCCCGCCUCUGCCCCCCACCCCCGCCGCCGCCGAGACUCCCAAGAGAAGAGGACCAACGGGACGCUGCUGGAUCCACGGGUGGUGAUAUCUGUCUUUCUCUCUCUCUCUCUCUCUCUCUCUCUCUGUCUUCCCCUUUUCCUCUCUUUUUCCUAAACGUGUGACGUGAGACGUGUCUAGUUAGUUGAUUCCAUUUUGCCUUAAUAAAUCUUAAAACUGG